rnacentral:ncRNA from 19 species
UGCUGCGCUGGAGAUGGCAUUCUCCUUUAACCGCCCUUAUGGCUGAUGAUGCCUGCUCGCCC